UCUUGGGCUCAGAACGAACGCUGGCGGCGCGCCUAACACAUGCAAGUCGAACGAGAAGCUGUAGCAAUACAGUUGUAAAGUGGCAAACGGGUGAGUAAUGCGUGGGUAAUCUACCCUCAGGUGGGAAUAACUUCCCGAAAGGGGAGCUAAUGCCGACAUGUGCAUCACUUUCGCAAGGAGGUGAUGGAAAGCCGUAUCGAGGAUACGGCGCCUAAGGAUGAGCUCACGUCCUAUCAGCUUGUUGGCGGGUAACGGCCCACCAAGGCUGCGACGGGUAGCUGGUCUGAGAGGACGACCAGCCACACUGGCACUGCGACACGGGCCAGACUCCUACGGGAGGCAGCAGUGAGGAAUAUUGCGCAAUGGACGACAGUCUGACGCAGCGACGCCGCGUGGGGGAUGAAGGCCUUCGGGUUGUAAACCCCUUUCAGGAGGGAAGAUGGAACGGGUAACCGUUCGGACGGUACCUCCAGAAGCAGCCACGGCUAACUCUGUG
rnacentral:rRNA from 1 species